UACGAAGGGGGCUAGCGUUGCUCGGAAUUACUGGGCGUAAAGCGCACGUAGGCGGUUUGUCGCGUCUGCUGUGAAAACCUAAGGCUCAACCUUGGGCUUGCAGUGGGUACGGGCAGACUAGAGUGCGGUAGGGGUGACUGGAAUUCCUGGUGUAGCGGUGGAAUGCGCAGAUAUCAGGAGGAACACCGGUGGCGAAGGCGGUUCUCUGGGCCUUACCUGACGCUGGAGGAGCGAAAGCGUGGGGAGCGAACAGG
rnacentral:rRNA from 1 species